AGCGGGGUGGACGUGUGUUUGUCAGCUCCCCGUUAUUCCUUUGCUGGACCCUAAUAACCGUAAUUAGCAUGUCAGGUGUAAUAAGCGCGAACCGCGCAGUAUCAUUAAGAGGAGGCGCGCUCGCUGGUGUGGUCGAGGGAACUUUCACAAGAGAUCUCGUCGGAGUAUCGAGAGGCGCUGUUUCCCGCCUUUUUAGAUAGACGUGUAGUUAGCGGUCGCGAGCGUUAAUAAUCUCCGUGUGCGUUAUUAGGGUCAUCAAUACCAGCUUGACAAAACUUAGGGAAGAACUUUGUUGUACUGCGACAGAAGACCAAGGUGAUUUAACUGCAUGUGUGUGUGUUUCGUCAUUCAUUAUCGUCCGUCUGUUUGUUCGUCUGUAUGGGCCCGGUCAUCCUUCUGCUCGGAUAAUGAGGCCGCCAUCUUUCGACCGGCUAUUCGUGACACUGAAUGAAGACAAUCUAGGACUCCUGAUGUUGCCUCCCAGGAACGGUUCGCUUCCCACAUCAACCCCACGAAACUCCAGGACCAAAGACAGGACUGUGUCUCUCCGCCACCAAGGCUAUUCACGACAAUGAAGACCAUCUGGGACUCUGACUUUGCCUCCCAGGAACGGUUCACUUCCCAUAUCAACCCUACGAAACUCCGCGACCAAAGGCAGGACUGCGUCUCUCCGCCACCAAGGCCAUUCACGACAGUGAAGACCCUCUAGGACUCCCGACGUCGCCUCCCAGGAACGAUUCACUUCCCACAUCAACCCUACGAAACUCCGGGACCAAAGACAGGACUGUGUCUCUCCGCCACCAAGAUAAGCAAUGCAGCAUGAAAUAUGGCAGAAAUAUACUGGCACUAUUGAAUGCAAAGCA